UGGGGGGUCGUCUAAUGGCAAGACUCCGGCCUUUGGAGCCGGCUAUCCGGGUUCGAGUCCCGGCCCCCCAG
rnacentral:tRNA from 5 species